AAGUCGUAACAAGGUUUCCGUAGGUGAACCUGCGGAAGGAUCAUUAUCGAUUUAGCGAACCUGCUAUGGUUUCGCGAAACUUGUAUUUAAAACCUACUCAUAUAAAAAAUUUUUUGUAUAUAAUAUAUUUAAGAUCACUUUCAACAACGGAUCUCUUGGUUCUC
rnacentral:misc_RNA from 1 species